CGAACCCACGAACUGUGAGAUCAUGACCCAAGCAAAAGUCAAGAACCAGAUACUUAGCCAACUGAGCCACCCAGAUGCCCCUGAGAUUAUUGGUAGUUUUAACCAAGAUUCAGUAAAGUCCUUUCUUAAUUCUAUAAAUUUUAAGAAUAAUUGUUUCAAAGCAUAAAAUACCAGAAAAUUAUAAAUUGAAAAACUGAAUACUAGAGUUUUAUGAGAGGAGUUUCAUCAAAGCACAUAUUCACAUCCUGCAGGGAUACUAAUGGUGGUACCUCACAGAGACUCCUCCCUCCUCUUUUCCUCCUGGACACAUACAACUUUAGCACAUUUCCUUGAUUCUCUUCUUGGGGUCAUGUGACUGAGUUCUGGCCAAUGAAAACUAUGCACACCAUUUGUAGGUUUGCCCCUAAAAAUCAUCUUGCACAGGCCUCCAAGUUCCGUCUUUUCCUUUGAGCAUCAGAUGCACAGAAUUCAAGGAAAGACUGAGGUUUGGGGGAUGGAAAGAGGCCACUCUGGGGAAGUACAUGGAAUAUUUUUCCCCCUCUCCCUCCCAUUGCACUUGCACUGGAUCGUGACUGGAGCAGGAAAUGAACCUGUAUUGCAUUAGGUCCCUGAGGUUCGGGGUUGUUUAUCAUAGCAAUCAAUACACGACGUGUGAUACAGUUGGUAAAGGGAGAUAGUGGGUAGGAGAAUGAGAAAGCAAAUAUCCUUGCUUUCUAGUUUGCCACUAAUGCUUUAUUACUGUGUGGAAAUGAAUAUAGCAACAGCGAAAUCAUGUGAUAUGAGUGCCAGACACAAAUAAAAAACUUACUAAACCAAUAUAUUAAGGUCCAAAUAUAGUUGAGUAUCUUGCUACCAUCUUGUUUUUUUGCUUUUCUUCAACCAAGUUCUGCAUAUCUGUGUCUGCAGACAUACCUGUGUCUGCAUAUCCAAAUUCUGCAUAUUUCCCCAAACAUAUAUAGCUGCUGACUUGUCCUUGGAACCAAUUAUUCAUGUCUUUACUCAAUAUUCCCCCCCCCCCCCACACACACACUGAUUAUUUAGCUCCUAUCCUCCACUCCUUUUCUAAGUUCUUAAAAUAAUUUUCUAUGUUGGGUGGCGGGGUGGCUCAUUUGGUUAAGUGUCCAACUCUUGGUUUCGGCUCGGGUCAUGAUCUCACGGUUUCAUGGGGUCGAGCCCCACUUAUCAGAUUCUGCUCUGACCCCAUACAGCCUGCUUGGGAUGCUCUGUCUCCCCCCUCUCUGCCCCUCUCCCAUUCAUGCUGUCUCUGUGUCUCUCAAAAUAAAUAAGUAAAUUUAAAAGAAAAAUAAAUAAAUAAAAUUAUUUUCUGUUUUUCAUAAGUUGUUGAUAACCACUGAAUUUGCGAGGGGAGGAAGACGGAAUCAAUUAUUUCAGCAUAGAAAUAAAAGCCAGUUUUUAAAAAUCACAAUUUUUUAUCGUUAAAAAUUAACUUUUUUUCCUGUUUUUUUUUUCUACCAGAUAUUACAAUAUGUUAUAAUGUUAUGGUAAUCAAAACCAGAAUAGUGAUAAUGCCACAACAGACAGAUCAAUGGAUUGAAGUAGAAGACCCAGAAGCAAACUCAAGUGCAAGCAAUGGAGGGAGCAUCAACACAAACAAAACAGGCAUCAGCCAGAAAGCCUAUAGGAAACCAUGGGAGGAAGAUCAAAAUCAGAUUCUUAGAAGUGAGCUGUUCUAGGAGCAGCUUGCUCCCUGAGCAGAGAGGAAGAGUGGCCACCCCAAGCCCCUUCCUGGGAUCUACACUCAGCAGCUCAGCCUCAAGCCACUGUGGCUUUGAACUGUGACGGUGAGCGUCUGUGUUUUGGCUUAAUUUAUUCUGUGCAUCCGUUAGCAAGAUGUGUCCUAAGGAAUCAGAAAAGCUUAAGGGAGUUUAUUUUUUGGAUCUGGGAAUGCUCAAAACAAUUUUCCAUAGACAUUAACGGUAAUUGCUUCUCUGCUUUCUGUCAUUUGGGGUUCUGAAAGCUUUCGGGGGUACACUCUACUUUGGGGUAGCAGAGGAAUCCUGUAUCGUGUCUAGAAAAAAUGAAGGCUCUCUACUCUUCUUAACCUUCUGGAGUAUAACAUUUAGUUAAAUUCUAGUACCGCGCACUAAGACCGACAUUAAUAAACUCAACUGCAGUGUUGUCUGAACUUUUUUUUAAUACCAUGGUGACCCCAGAAAAUGAUAAUAUUUGUAGGAUACAAGUCGGGGGGAAUUGCCUUGCUGGGCCACUCUUAGGCCUGAGGGACUAAUACACUGUCAAGAACUAACGUAUUUCUCUUAGAGAAUCUUUUGUUUCUAACAGAAAUUGUUGUUUGAGUGCUGAUAACGAGAGAAUAUUUACAGGACGAGGAGAGAGACCUUUGUUAUGUUGACGAACUCUUCAGGACCCAGGAGAGGACAUACAAAUGAACAGGGUGCGUCUGUCACGUACAUGCCAAGAUCACCACAGCACCCAUAGGAAAUGAUAAGAUUUUGGCACACUUGUGAUACACUGUUUGAGGAGUUCUGCUCUGUUGUGUCAGGAGAAAAACAAGUGAGAUGGAAGGAGAGGCCUUGAAGCCACAGCCUUAAUAAUUAGACUAGCCCCAAUUAAUUAAGUACCUCCAAUAAAAGGCACUCUGCAUGUAUUGGCUUAUUUAACCCCUUUAACAACUACAUGGGAUGGGUGUUAUUUCUUUUCCUUUCCAUUAAGGAAAUCGAAGCUUAGACAUUUAGUGUUAUAUUCAGGUCCAUGGGAGUGGUAAAUGCCAGAGCCGUGUUUUGAAUCUAGGCCGGACCCCCAAAUCCCACAUUCUUUUCUCCACAAACAGCAGGACAUAAGGGGCUUCUGUGUGCCUAAGUGUCUUCGAAUGUUAAAGGACUCUUAUGUGACAGAGAGAAUAGAAAAUUCUAAUACUGUAGGAGGUCAAGCUAGUAGCUAUGAGUGGAAUCGUGAAGGAAGACAGGCUUUACCUCAGAAUAAAGAAGAAAUGAUAAUCUCAUGAAGGUAGAACUUCUCCCCCCAUAUGGUAUUUAGCAAGUGAUUACUUCUUAGGGAAUUUUAGAGGAGACUCUUGUUUGGACGACCUCUGCUUUCUUCCAACUUCAAGAGUAUGAUGUUAUUGGAAUAUAAAAAGCAUGAGAAGAUCCUUUUACAAAUAUCGUUUCUCUUACAUGAACUUUCUAAGGAGGGAUUUGUAUUUUAGAUUGACUACAGGUGGAUGAAGAGCUCAUUUGCGUUCUUGAUCCGAGAGAGAAGGCUCAAUAAUUCUCCAAAGAGUUUACAAGUGCCUUUGUUAGAAGACUGCCCUAUUAUUCUGCAACUUCCAGGGCCUGGGCCUGGAGUUUUCCUUCUGAAAAAUCAAAAUACAGUCUGCAACUCCCACCACCGCAGGACUGAGAUGGACCAAAGAGUAUCUAUUACUUUCCAUAAGUCUUCCCAAAGAAGUGAAUGGACACCAAUUAGCAAGAAAUCUUGAAAUCCAUAGAUUGUCCUACUUUGGGGAAUGGUUUAAGUGUUUAUUUCAUGUGAUUUUGUUGGUAUGUGUAAGAGAAAGCACUACAUUUAUUUUCACAUUUUCUCCUCUUUUUUUUUUAAAGAGGGCAUAAUACCUUUUUCAUUUCCCCACCACCUCUUUAAAAAACACACUUCCAGUUUUUACUUUAGAAUAGCAACUACUCUGAUAAAUCAAGGGUUCUCUAAGAAGAAUAUUUGUAUCCUAGGGGCACCUGGGUGGCUCAGUUGGUUAAGCGUCCAACUUCAGCCCAGGUCAUGAUCUCAAGGUUUGUGAGUUUGAGCCCC